rnacentral:lncRNA from 1 species
AAGAAAACUUUACUCUGAAAGAAAAAAAGGGGUGAGGAGGCCCAAAGGGCUUUUUGCUUAUGUGGUUGAUAGCAAUCAAUAUUAAUUUAUUAGAAAAUAAAACCUGUAGCAUGCUUCUGUCCGUGGUUUUCCUAAUUGGAAAGCUGGAAUAACCUUUGGCUUUUAAAACAGCUCAUGGCAGGGGAGGAGUCAAGAUCGCAGAGGAGUAGCAUGAGAUGACAUCAGGUCAUAGGAGUUCAGCUAGAUAAUUAUCAAACCAUUCCAAACACCUAAAAAUCCAAUAGGAGAUUGAAGAGGAGAAGAGCAGCAACUCUAGGAACAGAAAACCAACCACUUUCUGAAAGGGCAGCACAAUUCUUCCUCAGGCAAAGACACUUGAGAAUCACUACAACAGACCUCUCCCCCAGAAGAUCAGCAAGAAAUCCAGCCAAGAUGAAGCUCACUGAUCAAGGAGAACAUUGGAAUUCCAGAGGAGGGGAAAGCAAAG